rnacentral:rRNA from 1 species
AAAUUCUUAACGGCCGCGGCACUAAAACCGUGCAAAGGUAGCACAAUCACUUGUCCCUUAAAUGAGGACCCGUAUGAAAGGCAACAUGAGAGAAGACCUGUCUCCUAAGGCCAGCCAAUGAAACUGAACCACCAGUACAAAAGCUGGUAUUUACAAGCAAGACAAAAAGACCCUAUGGAACUUUAACAAAUCAUUUACAAAACAUAAAUUAUAGUUUCAGUUGGGACAACUUUAGAGAAAAUUAACCUCUUACAACACACUAGACCAACAAGUCUAUACCGACUCGACCCAGUCACACUGAUUAACGAAACA